rnacentral:rRNA from 1 species
UACGUAGGGUGCAAGCGUUAAUCGGAAUUACUGGGCGUAAAGCGUGCGCAGGCGGUUUUGUAAGUCUAUCGUGAAAGCCCCGGGCUCAACCUGGGAAUUGCGAUGGAGACUGCAAGGCUUGAAUCUGGCAGAGGGGGGUAGAAUUCCACGUGUAGCAGUGAAAUGCGUAGAGAUGUGGAGGAACACCGAUGGCGAAGGCAGCCCCCUGGGUCAAGAUUGACGCUCAUGCACGAAAGCGUGGGGAGCAAACAGG